AACGGUGUCAGACUGAGAUGCUGAUAGUCUACAUCAGACAUAGCUAGUCACAGUAUCUAGCUGAAGCAUGAAGAGAAAUAGUGAGCAAAUAUACCUGCUCUACAGCAUUGCUUCAUUAGAGAGGUUUCGAAGUGUGUGGUUUCAGCAGAAGUAACUUUUCUUUGUUCAGAAUGGCCAGUGUAUCUGGUAGCUCAUUUUGUCUGUAAAGGCCAUGGAAGAAGUGGUUCCCUUUGAUGCUGUGCUGUCCAAAGGACUCCUUCACAGGCCACCAUUGCCAGGGCAUUACAGCAAGCACUUGGACACAAGCAUAGGGAUGGAGCUCUGAGCUAGGCAGGGGAUCCUGAUUGUGCAAGUACUUUUGAUUGCUACAUGGUGUUUAGGAACAGUGGAAUGGCUUUUUGCUAAUUUUCCUGUCUCCUUGCUACAUUCCUUCUGCCCAACUUAUUUCCAUCACAGAGGGUCAGAAAGGCUGUAGAGUAGUAGCUUUUCCUUUGUUCUGUGUUCCACAUGCACAGGCAUAUUUACCAUGCAAUACCUUUGUUAAUAAGGAAACUUGAGGAAGAGUUUUAAAUUACUUUUCUGACCUGCUUUGUAAAGAUUUUGCUGGCUGUGUACAGACCCAUAAAACAUGACCACCAUUCCUGGUAGUGGAAAUGAUGGAGUCAGCAUAGCAUGCAUCUUCCUUAGUCUUCCAGACUGGUCUCCAAACCCUUCCUGGAAGAGCUUGCAUAUGGGAAGUUGGACAGGCUGAAGCAGACUGAUGUGGACUCUGGAGCAGCGCACACCUGCUACAUUUCUGGGCCUCAUCCUUUACCUGCUUAUCUUGUGGGGAAAGGGGAUGCUGGUCCUGAAACUACGCAGAGCCCUGUUGUCUCUUCCAGAAGCAGAGUUCCAUGCUGAAGAUGCAGCCAAGAAAAAGUCUUAUGCCAUAUACUAAGAAAGUUUAGUCAUAUGACCUGGGUGAGAAAAUGGUGAUUUAAGAAGAAAAAGAUGUCACAAAAUCUACAGCACACAGUGACUCCAGCACUGUGUUACUAUGCCAUCUGCUGUGACCUUGUCCCUCUCGAAGAUCAGAGCAACCAUCAACCCUAGUCUGUGUUGGUGACCUAUAAACCCAGGCCUGCUUUUGGCAAACCUCAGAGCUGCCCAGGGCUGCAUCUUCCAGGCUGGACUCCAAGCUGCUGUCAUAUACGCCAUCUUCUCUCAGAUGGCCACCAGUAAGGUACCUCACUCUGCUGGGUGCCCAAGGCAGACCUGCAGCAGCCCUGCGUGUUUAUGAUGGUGGCACGGGUCUAAUCUUGUGCUGUCAAGCUGUGUGGGAGCACUGAGCAGCUUUGGAGUUUUUUAGCCUGUGCUGGUGAUGGAGGACACGUCGUCCAGGUGACUCCAGGCUCUUCAGCUCAGAUACACUUGCAUAUAGCUAGAUCCCAGCAGCAGGAGCAGAGUUUACGGUAGUUUCUGUUCCCGUCUAUUCUGGAACUGAAGCCGUAAAAACAAAUGGAGGAUGAUUACACCACGCACUUGCAAGCACUGAGGAAUGGUGUGGAUGCGAGAAGCAGAAGUAAAAUUGCUCAUAUAGUGUUUUUCUGACUGCCUGCCAGAGCUGCAUCUGCUCUUCAGCCAACGCAGUGUAAGACCGCUAGCUGGCUAUUAUAUGAGAAGAAUUCAAGUAAUUUUUGUCACGUGGAGGAAAAGGGAGCAGAGACCAACCCUGAUAGCUUUUCUGAGCUGAAAACUCAUUUUCACGUCCAUUGGCUGCUAUGUCAAAGAUAUUAAUGCAUGGAUUUAAAAAAAUACAUGUAUUUUUUUAGAGAAGUGCUUUCUAAAGCUUUUAUAAUUUGAGGAGUUAACCAGCAUGGGCAAACCAAGCAAGCAGCAAGACAGGCAGCUGUUGUCAUGAGGUGAGCUUUUGUCCUCAGUCUUAUGCUUCUUCAGUGAACCUCUGCAAACAUGACCAGUUUGCUUUCAUGGGGACAAAACUUCCAUGGACCAAACAGUCUAUUGCCAAGUGUUCAGGCAGGCAGGAGUACAUGAAGCUGUGUAAGAAAGACCUGCUAUUUAACCCCUACUCUAGGAACAUACAUGUAAGGGUUUUCACUGUGGUUUCCUGAGGGGUUCUUCACUGCUGAAAGCAAAGCUCGAAAGGACUCUGGAGCUGUGCAGAAGACAACAUCAAAAGCCUUUUAGAAGCCUGCAGUCUUGGAUUGAACAGAUCCUAAAAUCCUAUUCCUGGUGCCCCACAGCACCAUUGUCCACAGCAUGAAUGUAAAUCAAAUCCCACACACCCCACACCCCCCGCUUCACUCUCACUUAUGUACUCCAAAUCCCCUUAUCCCCUGUGUUUAUACAAUAGUUAGGGUUGGAAAGGACCUUUAGAUCAUCAAGUUCCAAACCCCCUGCCGUGGGCAGGGACACCUCACACUAGACCAUAUCACCCAAGGUUCUGUCCAACCUGGCCUUGAACACUGCCAGGGAUGGAGCAUUCACA